UAUGAAAAAUGUACCCCAAAAUGCGUUGCCUUUUAAGAAGGACAGACGCGGGUCGGAAGCUCCAAAAUUUGCACUAAGUUCAGCUCCGCCGGGAAAAUGACAGAGACCACACGAUGCUGUCAGGAAAAACAAACUGAUCCCUUUAUUGCAGAAUGCAAAGCUACAGCUGUAGGGUCCCUGCCUCUGGAAAGAAGGAAGGAACCCCGGGAAAUGGUGGGCAAUCCUUCGAGAUGGGCGCAGGAGUGGAGCGAUUUCCUGACGAUUUCCAUGAGGUGAUUUUCAUCCGGCAGGUGUUUUCCUUGAGGCCGCGGAAAGAUGGACUAUGGCAUGUUUAAUUUGAAUAAAGUUGUCAAGCUAA